CUCAAUUCAAUCUCCAGGAUAGAAGACUCUGAAACUGGUUUGGGCCGGAAAGCCAUGCUUCAUUUAGUCACAAAGGACUUUCCCUUAACUUUUGAACCCCUGGUCUGAUUUGUGCCAUUUUUUAAUAUGUUGUUCCCCUGAAUGGAUUGAUUAUGAAAAUGUAUGUUUUAUGUUUGUGACAUGUAUAUUUUUAGAAGUUAUAAAUAUUGUGUAAAAACUGUAUUCCUCUGCCGGUGAUAAUGAGAUUACCCAUUGUGUUCAGUAAUCAUAUCACAGGCAGAGGGGAGGAUUUUGUGUGGG